AAUUUGAUUUUUUUUUAAUUUUUUUAUUUAUUUUCAUUUGUUUUGAAAAUUGGUAUUGGAGUUCUGUCGAAAUUUCCUGGGACUGAUGAGUUGUGCUAAUCUAGGUUAGAAAUUUCAAAAUCAUAUGUACAUACAGGUAACCUUGUUUGAUUUAAUUGUUGUUUGAGGCUGGAUUGAAAUUAGAGGUUGCCACGGAUAUACAUACAGGUGCCCCAUGUUUUGCUGCCAUAUAAGCUUUAAAAAUUGUUGGUUCUUGAACUCUUUUUUCAUUUACCCUUUCCCCUCUCAUGCUGAAAUCUCCACCAAGUUUGGCUGAUUGUAUAACACACAUCGAUUAACUUCUCCCUUAUUUUGCUAUCUUUGGAAGAUAUUUACCUAUUCUUGUUGAACCCAAUUAUCCAACUAUUUUUCCACCCUUGCAGUAUGCAGAUUUGUCACAUCUAUUUUGUACAAAGGAUGCUGCUCCUGUCACCAAAAGGCAAAAGCUACAGUCCUGAGUUGAUUAUGCACCCUAUUUUACAACUUCUAUGUAAUCUUCAUAUUUCUGUCUUCACAUUUCAGAAAACCAAGUGGAUGUUGUUAGUGGGAAACUAAUUCAGAGAAGACCGGAAGAGAACAAGAAAAACCUAUCACGGCUCUUGCUGAAGUUGACAACAAGUGGAUAAAAGAUUUGACCGUCUUGUCAUUGAUCCAGGCCUUGGAAGAGACCCAUUUCUUAUAGUAUGCUUACUCUUGAAAUGAUGCUGGAUACUUGCGUAAUUGUUUAUGAAAUUAGCUUAUCUUUAUCUUCUAAUGUUUGCUUUUGGUCUCCAAGUGAUCUUAUUCUUUUCCAGUAUGUAUGUAUGAUAACAUGCAUGUAGGUGAUGUUAAUUACGACUAUGGCGUAGUGUUACAUGAAAGACAGUCAAAGAACUAGUGGUUCUAAAAAAAUAAACAGUUGGAGGAGAGGUUAAAAGGCAGUUUUUACUCAUGUAAAAUCUCAUUUAGCUUAAAAUGUAUGAGUGCAUGAGAUCUUAACUUGAGAAAGUUGACAUUACUUUGUGCUGAAAUUUUGAUAGUAAAAUUGAAAUUUGCAAGGGUGAAAUAUAUGUUUAAAAAAUGGAUGGUCGAUGUCACGAGUAGAAAAACUUGAAAUACUAAUCAAAAUGUUAAAAAAAAAUUCUUAAGACAUAUGACACUAACCUUAAAAAUUUAUCCGUGAUAUCUGCACAAAUCACAAGAUAUAACAGAGACAUUUUAGUUCAAAAGCUGUGCAAAAAUUAAAGAAAAUAAUCUAAAUCGAAAAUAAAAAUGAUUCAAAGUUAGACCAUGAGAUUCAUUCUCAUACACACAAAUCCACCACCUAUCACUUUCCUCUUUGAAAACUCUAAGACAAACUUAAGUAUACAAAGUACUUAUGGGUUUACUAAUAUCAAGUAAUGUGAGAUUUCAUUUUUUUAAAAUACUUCACAUAUAUACGACAAUAUAUCACCUGGUUAUCCAGCUUUUAAUACUAUGUCUAAAAGUUUUAGUUAUUGUUAGGCAAGGGUACAUAGAUUUUACGUCUGUGUUAGAAAUUUGGGCCUUUAAGAUAUAAUGUUUUAUCAAAUAUAUAGUUUUCUCGGUCCUUGUUGUGGAAUAUGUAUUUUUUCCCCAUUUGAGUUCUAUGAUACUAUUGUAUUGGAGAUAACUUACCCGUUGCCAAUAGCCUCCAUGUAUGAUCCUAACAUUUACACAAUGUUGUAAGGACUGUGUGAAUGAAACCAUGAGACAUGAAAGGUAGUCAAACGUCACAAUUGUAAUAGAUGGGGUAUGUAUGUUGGUUGUUGAUGUUUAAGCACCUCACAGUCUGAGUCUGAUUACCAUGUGCAUAUUGAUUUCAAUAUAGGCUGUAUGAUUUUGAUAAUUCUGAUCAAUUUUUUGGACAUUUUUGAGGAUGGACUUUUUCUUGUUCCAAAUAUUGUUCAGAAAGUAAGUUCUGAAGUACAUGACGCAGAUGCUACUUAGCAACUGCUGUGCUAUCUCUGUCCAAACAGUUACUCAUUUCAAGGUAUAUCCAAACAAGCAUGCCUCUCAUACUGAGAAAGAUCUAAAACAAGUUUCUAGUCCACUGCAUGCUGCGCUGUAAAAUUUCCUUGGUGAAGUUUGCUGUUUUCAAGAAACAAAUUAAGACUCUCGGCAAAGUUGGACAGCUUUUAGAGCUUUCAUUAAUCAAGCAUUGAAAGAGAAGUAAAUCAUAUAUUUCCUUGUAUUGAUACUUUUCCUUUGGCAACUUGUGAAUUUGUGAUUAUAUCUGUAGCUUGUCAUUCAUUGAAAGAGAGAAGUAACUCAUACAAUCACAGUUUGGUCUUUUCUUGAGAUGAACCAAUAGCUCAAGUCGUAAAAGCAAAUUAGGUGAAAUAUCAUGCUUGCUCCAUUAUUAGAGUGAGCUUAGGUUAUUUAGUAGGAUUUAUAUAGAAAUUCAUUCACUUUAAAAAAGUGUUGAAAAAAAGUGUCAAAUGACGUGUUGUUAAUUUUCUUGUGCGUUACUAUUAGUAAGUUGAGUUACCUUUAAGCUCCUGCAUCGUUUCUUACAGUUUGGAAGAUAUUUGUCCUGCCAAUUCUUGCUGUUUCUGACUCAAGACAUGUAUAUAAAACGUGUGAAGUUGCUUGUUUUGCCCAAAGAAUA